GAUGAACGCUGGCGGCGUGCCUAAUGCAUGCAAGUCGAGCGACGCACGUCGGAGGGGUAACCCACCGGCAUGACGGAGCGGCGAACGGGUGAGUAACACGUGAGCAACCUGCCCCACAGAUCGGGAUAGCCCAGGGAAACCUGGAUUAAUACCGGAUGUCCUCGUAGGACCGCAUGGUCCAUCGAGGAAAUGCCUUUGUGCUGUGGGAUGGGCUCGCGGCUUAUCAGCUAGUUGGUGGGGUAACGGCUCACCAAGGCCACGAUGCGUAGCCGACCUGAGAGGGUGAUCGGCCACACUGGGACUGAGACACGGCCCAGACUCCUACGGGAGGCUG
rnacentral:rRNA from 1 species